AAUUUAAACAACCGUCUUGAUUUGUUUUUGUUUUCGUAAGGAAUUAGAGUUAGUAAAGAAUUAUAUAUCCAUGUUAGUUCUAAAUUACCCUAUGCCAUGUAAGUCGGUUGUUGAACUAAAUUAAGGCUAUAAAUUAAACGGUACUGUUAGGGUUUAAAAUAGUUAAUUUAGGGUUUUGAAAAAAAAAACAAAAAACUGUAGGCUCAUCAUCAUCAUCAUCCUCUCUCUUCCAUGGAAACCUGCAUCAUCUCUCCCCCUCUCUCUUCCGUGGCAACCGGCAAGCUGAUUCAAGUGGACCCGCCCGAACUCAGAUUCCCGUUCGAAUCAAAAAGGUUCAGCCUGUGUUACAUCAUGUUAACCAACAAAACCGAUGACCACAUCGCCUAUAGGCUUUCUUCGGCCGCCGCAGAGAAGUACCACGCUCAGCCCGACAGAUACAUCCUCUUGCCCCGAUCCACAUGCAAAGUCGAGGUAAUAAUGCUACCGCGGAGGAAAGCACCACAUCAC